GAUUUUAUUUUUUUGGUUAGGUAGUGCAGCUUGAGUGACGUAUUUCAGGAUAAACACUCAGAAUGACCCUUGCUUUCUCUCCAACGAAAGAGCAAUCAGCUCCACCUGCAGGAUUAAGACAUGCACGCAGACUCACAGAGCAAGGGAACAUAACAGGAUCGAAAAGGGAAGACAUUCAACGGGAACUGCAGAAUAAUGCUGGGAUAACUUCAGAAGGGAAAAGAACAGGACCACAUAAAAGAGUUUAUGAUAAACUUUACUUUGCACUGGAGAGUUAUUUAUUAGUUGGUUUGUCUGUUCAUCAUGUUGCAGCAUAAUUAAUUAACAAUGAAUCCCUUGCAUGUCCACUUCCCAUGAGAUCUCAACAGGAUUCUUAGCAGGG